UACGUAGGGGGCAAGCGUUAAUCGGAAUUACUGGGCGUAAAGCGUGCGUAGGCGGUUCGUUAAGUCUGUUGUGAAAGCCCCGGGCUUAACCUGGGAAUGGCAUUGGUGACUGCACGGCUAGAGUGUGUCAGAGGGGGGUAGAAUUCCACGUGUAGCAGUGAAAUGCGUAGAGAUGUGGAGGAAUACCGAUGGCGAAGGCAGCCCCCUGGGAUAACACUGACGCUCAUGCACGAAAGCGUGGGGAGCAAACAGG
rnacentral:rRNA from 1 species